rnacentral:rRNA from 1 species
AAAAGUCGAACAGGUUUAAAAUUUGAACGGCUACACCCAAAAUUAUAUCUUAAUCCAACAUCGAGGUCGCAAUCUUUUUUAUCGAUAUGAACUCUCCAAAAAAAUUACGCUGUUAUCCCUAAAGUAACUUAAAUUUUUAAUCAUUAUUAAUGGAUCAAUUAUUCAUAAAUUAAUGGUUUUUAAAAUUAAAAGUUUUUUAAAUUUUAAUAUCACCCCAAUAAAAUAUUUUUAUUUAUUAUAAUAAAAAUAAUCUUUAUAAUUAAAAUAAACAAAAUAUAAAGAUUUAUAGGGUCUUCUCGUCUUUUAAAUUUAUUUUAGCUUUUUGACUAAAAAAUAAAAUUCUAUAAAAAAUUUAAAUGAAACAGUUAAUAUUUCGUCCAACCAUUCAUUCCAGCCUUCAAUUAAAAGACUAAUGAUUAUGCUACCUUUGCACAGUUAGAAUACUGCGGCCAUUUAAAAUUUUCAGUGGGCAGGUUAGACUUUAAAUUUAUUUCAAAAAGAC